rnacentral:rRNA from 1 species
UACAGAGGUCUCAAGCGUUGUUCGGAAUUACUGGGCGUAAAGGGUGCGCAGGCCGCACGGGCAGUCAAAUGUGUAAUUCAGGGGCUCAACCCCUGCACUGCGCUUGAUACUUCCGUGCUCGAACCUUGGAGAGGAGUCUGGAAUUCUCGGUGUAGCAGUGAAAUGCGUGGAUAUCGAGAAGAACACGUAGGGCGAAAGCAAGACUCUGGACAAGUGUUGACGCUCAUGCACGAAGGCUAGGGUAGCGAACGGG